AUUGAACGCUGGCGGCAGGCCUAAUACAUGCAAGUCGAGCGGUUGAGGGGGGCUUGCCUUUGGAGGCAGCGGCGGACGGGUGUGUAAUGCGUGGGGAUAUGCUUGCUGGUAGGGGAUAACGACCGGAAACGGGGGCUAAUACCACAGCAGUCUUGUAGGAGAAAGAGGAGGUUCUUUGAAACUGACGCUAUCCAAUACUCCCAGAUGGGACUACGUUGUAGUAGGUAGGUGGGGCGGUAAAGGCCCACCCAGGUAACGAUACAUAGCCGACCUGAGGGGGUGAUCGGGCACACUGGGACCGAGACACGGCCCAGACUCCUACGGGAGGCAGCAGUAGGGAAUUAUUGGCAAUGGACGGAAGUCUGACCGAGCAACGCCCCGUGAGUGAAGAAGGGUUUCGGAUCGUAAAGCUCUGUUGUAAGAGAAGAACGAGUGUGAGAGUGGAAAGUUCACACUGUGACGGUAUCUUACCAGAAAGGGACGGCUAACUACGUG
rnacentral:rRNA from 1 species